GGCGAGGGGAGUGAAAAAGAACCUGAAACCGUGUACGUACAAGCAGUGGGAGCCUCUUUAUGGGGUGACUGCGUACCUUUUGUAUAAUGGGUCAGCGACUUAUAUUCUGUAGCAAGGUUAACCGAAUAGGGGAGCCGAAGGGAAACCGAGUCUUAACUGGGCGUUAAGUUGCAGGGUAUAGACCCGAAACCCGGUGAUCUAGCCAUGGGCAGGUUGAAGGUUGGGUAACACUAACUGGAGGACCGAACCGACUAAUGUUGAAAAAUUAGCGGAUGACUUGUGGCUGGGGGUGAAAGGCCAAUCAAACCGGGAGAUAGCUGGUUCUCCCCGAAAGCUAUUUAGGUAGCGCCUCGUGAAUUCAUCUCCGGGGGUAGAGCACUGUUUCGGCAAGGGGGUCAUCCCGACUUACCAACCCGAUGCAAACUGCGAAUACCGGAGAAUGUUAUCACGGGAGACACACGGCGGGUGCUAACGUCCGUCGUGAAGAGGGAAACAACCCAGACCGCCAGCUAAGGUCCCAAAGUCAUGGUUAAGUGGGAAACGAUGUGGGAAGGCCCAGACAGCCAGGAUGUUGGCUUAGAAGCAGCCAUCAUUUAAAGAAAGCGUAAUAGCUCACUGGUCGAGUCGGCCUGCGCGGAAGAUGUAACGGGGCUAAACCAUG
rnacentral:rRNA from 1 species